rnacentral:lncRNA from 1 species
AACUUAUGACUUAUAAGUUGGGGUGACUUAUAAGUUGGGUCUGUUUGGCAAAAUAAGUCACUUUUUUCACCGACUUUUUUUUUCACAACGUAGUAGGUGAGGGGGCAGUUUUGCAAAAAAAAAAACUCGUAGCUCCCGCGAUCGCCUGGCGAUCUGGCGGGGACGGAGACAGAGAGGAGAGAGUGAUGGCGCCGGUGAUUCCGGCGGAGGCCACAACGGCUUGGGACCCCAUCGGCGGGGGCGCAUCAGCGGCGCCCCGGGCGGAAGCCUUGAAGCCUCGCGACCCCAUUAGGAGGGGGAUUUCCAUCGGGGGCACAACGGGCGCGCCGGAUUGGGAAGAAGUCAAGGCGGAAGCAAGGCGGAUUAUCCGGCGAUCUACAGACCGGAAGAGGUGCUGGAAGCAAAUGAAGAGGUGAGCGGAGGAGAUGAUGCACGUGAAUCCAGUGAAGAUCCUCCCUGAUCUGGCGGGGAACGUGAAGAUGGGCGACUACUACGGCGACAAAUCCGAGGUACAGAAAUAUGGUAGGGGUUGUAAUUCGCUGGAUUUGAUCCCGUCCGGACAGGGGGUCCGAUUUUGGGUGCUAGUAGUAUGGAAACUAGUACUAUUGUUCAGGAUUAUAGAGAAAUCUAUUCGGUGGGAGAUAUGGAUGAGGAAGAGAGAAAUCAGGGAAGGAGUCCUAUCUGUACAAUAAAGGAAAAUAGAGAAAUUAGUGGGAUUUUAUUUUGGAAACUGCCCAUUUAUGAUCCUUUAAUUUUUGUUAAGUGUACAAUUUUCGUCCAGUUGGUGGAGAUUCUGGGAGAGGGGGUAUACUAUAUCAACUACAGAGGGGGGAGGGGUUUCUUCCCUGUACGAGCUGUAUUAGUGUGUAAGGAAGAGAUGGAGAUGGAGAGGAAGGGGGAGGCGGAGAUGGAGAUGGGUCAGGGAUCGGGGAGUGUGCCGGCGACCAUGGGGAGCGGUUCUCCUGCUCUGGCUACCUCACCUGGGGGCGAGAGGAUGAAGGAGUCCAUGCGGCCCUGUGGGGAUGACUCACCGCUGGUCAUCGAUAUGGAGGCCGCCAGGAGGGCUGUGAGGGGUUUCUUGGUGGUAGGGCGACUUCUGUCGCCAUUCCAAGUUCGCCCGCAGGUCCUUGUCGAUGACCUUCGUGCUUCGUCGGCUUGGAGGCUAAAAGGCGAGGUCACCGUCCAGGAGGUGGACAGCGACGAUGGGAGGUUCAUCCUGAACUUCUCCGCCGACGUGGACAGACGCUUUGUAUUGAAGGCCCAGCCGUGGCACCAUAAGCGUGAUGGGAUCGUCUUCGCCGAGUUCGACGGCAAGGGUAACCCAACGAAGGUGGAUCUUGGAACCAUGGCUAUUUGGGCCCAGGUUUGUGACCUACCGUUUGAGCUUAAAACUGAAGAUGUGGGUACGUCUCUAGGGGCCAAAUUGGGGAAGUGAUAACCGUCUCACACCAGAAUCACAUGAUAGUAGAAAAGUAUUUGCGUGUUCGCGUGAAAGUCCCGCUACAUGAGCCAAUCAAGAGUAGAGUAGAAUUCACUCCACUAGGCAGCAAAGAAAAAUGUUACUUUGAUGUUCGUUAUGAAAAGUUGCCAUCAUAUUGUGAGUGUUGUGGGUUUGUAGGCCAUAUGUCGGAGAGGUUCUGUAGGAUUCCUAAAGAGAGUAGAGUAGCUGUUUUUGCAAAAAAAACUCAGUGUAGAGGCCUACUGGAAGGGCAAUAUAGCUAGUAGAAGAGCUCUUGUGUACUCGGGCUAUAGUAACAAAAACAUUUCAAAGGCUACUGAAGGUAUGGUGGUCAAAGUAAAUGAUCUCACUGUGAAAGAGAAAGAUGCUGCAUCGUCUUUCCUGGCGACUGGAGGUCCAGUCCAGGGAGGCCACUCACUCGGCCAGGAGGGCCGGGGGCAAGGACCUUCUCUGCUGGUGCCCGUAGCUGCCUCGGGUCAGGUGGACCUGGAUCACGGGCCACUCGAGCGCGCUAGCCUUGGCCAGGAGGGCCAAGGACUAGCGGCCAGAAGGGAGCACACCAAGGGGGCGCUGCAGGUUGGCCAGGAGGGUCGUUUUCCUGUAGCGUCCCUACACUCCAUGCGGGGUGGUGAUCAUGGUCAGGUGGACCAGAAUGCAUCACUGUACGCCCCUGCACCCCCUACUAGCGAAGGCCAGGAGGGCCAAGCGCUGGUGGGGGGAGCGGCCACCACCACGGCUGCUUUAACUGACCAGGCGGGCCAGGACAUGUUGCAUCAGGGGAAUUUUACUUCCCCAAUCAGGUCUGUUGCGGCUAUGGCUGCGUACCGGCCUAACCCGGUCGUCCAGGAGGGUAGGGAGGCUCUGCAGUGGGGUGAUCAACUCCUCUUUCGCCCGGGGGUGCUGGAGGUGCUGUCGGGGGCUGUCGCUGCAAGACUUGCUCCAAAAAAUACCACUGACACCCCUAUUUACACUUUCAAUGCUACAAAGAACUCCAUGCAGGGAAAGACAAAAGGAAAGGGCAAAAAAGGAAAGAAGGGAGGAGGAGUUGGGAGUUCAGGGGAAGCACGCAAGAACAUUAUAGGUAAAAAAAAGAAGCCUCUAUGAAGCUCCAGCAACCGGUAGUGAGCUAGAUUUAUCUUUUGAGAAAACCAUGGAUAGCUAUGAGCGUAUUCUGUAUGGGGACAUAAAUGUAUCUUCUAAGCGUGUAUGUACGGGUAGAGUGGAAGCUGUGAGAGAUGGAAAUGGGGUGGUUACUCACGUAUCAAAAGAAGUUGAGGAGAAAGAAGAGGCUCCGGGGCAGCAGAGAAGGGAGUCAGUCGGAGAUGAUGGCGCAUCGGCGGCCUCCGAAGAGGAGGCACGCCGGGCCAAAUGAGAAUCAUCGGAUGGAACUGCCGUGGGAUGCUCUCUCCCACGGCGGUUCGCGAGCUCUUGGAUCUACAGGAGCGUACCAAAGCAGAGCUAAUUUUCCUUUCAGAAUCUCACUUAAAUAAAUGUAAAGCCGAUGAGCUUCGUCGAGUUUUAAAUUUCGAUUCAAUGUUUGUAGUUGAGAGCGAUGGCCGGGCGGGUGGCCUUGUCUUGUUUUAUCAGAACAUGAAUAAAGUUGAGUUGAACUAUGUGUCUAAUAAUUUUAUUGAUGUUCUUUUUAUAAAUGGGAAUACUGUACAAUGGCGUUUUACGGGGUUUUAUGGGCACCCCAACUGGAGUGACCGUGCUCUGUCAUGGGAUGAUAUUCGAAACUUGUAUAAAAAAGGCGAUCACCCAUGGGUAGUUUUAGGAGAUUUUAAUGAAAUUUUGCUCUCAUCAGAGAAAGAGGGAGGGAAUGCGAGACCAAAUGUGAUGAUGAGAGAUUUUCGAAAUUGUUUGGGGGGAUGUGGACUAGCACAUAUGGGAUGUAUGGGUGAUUUAUUUACAUGGAGGAGGGGCGAAAUCAGGGAAAGACUGGAUCGAGCAGUCUGUAAUGUGGAUUGGGCGACUAAAUUCCCUCGAUCGGCGGUUAUAAACGAAGAACAUGUACACUCAGACCAUCGCCCUAUUAUUUUAGACACGGAAUAUUUUGACAAUAAUAUUUUUGACCGCUCAAAAAGUCGAAGGAAACAAUUUGAAGCUCGAUGGCUGAAAGAAGAGACGGUUACGGAAGUUGUACGUACAGCUUGGGAAAAAGCGAAGAUGUUGGGCAUAGGGCCGUCUCUUGCUGAUCGUACAAGAGCGGUACAUGCAGAUUUGCACACUUGGGAUCGUGAUAUCCUCAAGGGUCCGAAAAAAAGAAUCAAUAAACUAAAAAAAGAUUUAGAAAAACUAUGGAGAGGGCCUGUGAAUGCUAACUCUCUUGCAAGUCAAAAGGAGAUUAUUGUAUUGAUUGAAAAUUUAUUGGAACAAGAGGAGAUACACUGGCUACAACGGGGUCGAGCAAACUGGUUAUUGCAUGGUGACCGUAAUACUUCUUUUUUUCAUAACGCCGCAACAGCUAGAAAGAAGAGAAAUCAGAUAAAAAAAUUGCUUGAUGAUAAUGGGGUUUGGGUAAAAGACACAGAGAUGAAGAAUCAUAUUCUGGGAUAUUUUUCUAACCUAUUUACUUCAGAAGUUAAUCAACCGAACCAUGAGGUCCUCUCCCUUGUAAAAAGGAAAGUAACAAAUGAGAUGAAUAGGGCUCUCCUUGCCCCUUACACGGCCGAAGAGGUUAGGAAGGCACUCUUUGACAUUGGUGAUUUAAAGGCGCCAGGGCCAGAUGGCCUUCACGCCAUUUUUUACAAGAGAUUUUGGGCUAUGUUAGGGGAUGAUUUGACUGAAGAGGUUCUUAAAGCGGUGAAUACAUGUACUAUACCUGAUGGUUGGAAUGAUACUACAAUAGUAAUGAUCCCAAAAGUUAACUCCCCACAAAAGGUAACUCAAUUUAGACCAAUCAGUUUAUGCAAUGUGGUGUAUAAGGUCAUUUCAAAGAUGAUUGCUGCUCGUCUGAAGACAAUCCUCCCAGAUAUUGUUAGCCCUACCCAAAGUGCCUUUGUGCCUGGAAGAAUGAUUACAGAUAACAUCUUAGUAGCUUAUGAAUGUUUCCAUAAAAUAAAAAUAAAAGGACCGGUAAAGAGGGCAUGUGUGCAAUCAAACUGGACAUGCACAAAGCAUGUGAUCGAGUGGAGUGGCCUUUUUUAAAGGAAAUCAUGUUGCGACUAGGUUUUCAGCAGGAUUGGGUGAAUAUAAUUAUGCAAUGUGUGUCCUCGGUGGAAUAUCGGGUUCGUUUUAACACGGAAGAAACAGAGAGCUUCAAACCAUCUAGAGGACUGAGGCAGGGGGACCCUCUCUCCCCAUAUCUAUUUUUGUUAUGUACGGAAGGCCUGACUGCACUCUUAGCUAAUGCAGAGGAGAAUGGAAGUAUUUCCGGAAUUAAAGUUAGCAGAGAUGCCCCAUCUAUUUCAAAUCUCCUCUUCGCGGACGAUUCACUUAUCCUGAUGCAAGCUAAUUCGAUGAACGCGGAGGCGCUGAAAUCAGUUUUGGAUUCUUAUUGUGCUGCUUCGGGGCAAAUGGUGAGUGUUGAAAAAUCUAGUAUAUUUUUUAGUCCCAACACGAAAGUGGAAGAUAAGGCGCAUAUAUGUACUAUUCUGAAUAUUAUGACUGAAGCUCUCAAUGACAAAUAUUUGGGUCUGCCUUCAAAUGUGGGUAUGGACAAAAGUGAUUGUUUCCAAUUCUUAAUAGAUCGAAUUGUCAUGAAAAUUAGUGGUUGGAAGGAAAAGCUGCUAUCAGCAGGAGGAAAGGAAAUCCUUCUCAAAUCGGUUGUACAAGCUAUCCCAACUUAUGCAAUGUCCGUCUUUAAAUUCCUAAAAAAAAUAUGUAAAGAAAUCAUUGACGCGAUGUCGCACUUUUGGUGGGGUGAUGAAGACAAUCAGAAGAGAAUGCAUUGGAUGGCAUGGUGGAAGAUGUGUGUACCAAAAGACCAAGGAGGAAUGGGUUUUCGAGACAUACAUUGUUUCAAUCUGGCCUUGUUAGCCAAACAAGCGUGGCACCUGCUUGAUAAUCCUGAUUCCCUAUGUGCCACCAUUUUGAGAGCUAAAUAUUUUCCGGAUGGAGAUUUAAUGAAUGCGAGUCUGAAAAAGGAUCUUCUUUCACUUGGCAAAGCAUUAUGGCCAGAGUGGAUUCUCUCAAAAAAGGUUAUAUUUGGAGAGUUGGUAAUGGACAAAAUAUUGAUAUUUGGAGAGAUGCAUGGAUCCCGAAUGGGGCCAAUAGAAAAAUUAUCACUCCUAGAAGAGGGCAGCUUCUAAAAAAAAGUUGCUGGUCUUAUAGAUCCAAUCAACAAUCGCUGGGAUGAAGAUUUCAUAAGACAAACAUUGUGGCCAAUUGAUGUCCAGAGGGUGCUUAGAUCCCCCUCCCCACGUAUAACAUGUCGGAUUUCAUAGCUUGGAGCUUUACAAAGAAUGGACUGUUCACGGUUCGUUCUGCUUAUCUGGAGGAAUCGAAAACACAACAUGGGAGGAAAUUGCAACAAUCAGAUGGCAUGGGAGGAACAAGUGUCAAUACUAUUUGGAGCAAGAUUUGGAAAUUAUCUUGUCCAGCAAAAGUGAAGAUCUUUAUUUGGCGUACCUUACAUGGAACCCUCCCAUGUCGUGUUACACUUGCUAAUAGACAUAUGAAAGUUUCGCCCACCUGCCCAUCAUGUUCAAACGGGCAUGAAGAUACUAAACACUUAUUAUUUUUGUGUCAAAAGGCAAAAGAGGUGUGGGAGAAACUGGGAUUGCACGAAGCCAUUAAAAAAGCUUGCGUUGUCGAUCGUGCGGGAGAGGCAGUACUCGAAUUUCUACUUCUUAUGCCAGAACACGAGCUAUCUACAGUGGGCAUACAGAAUGUUCGCGAAUUGAUCGCUAUAACAACCUGGUAUUUAUGGUGGGAAAGACGUUCGCUAGUCCAUGAUGGGAAGACCCAAGAUGCAUACCAAAUUUCGAUGGGAGUCCGUGCUAUAACAACAAACUAUGUUAUUGCCCAAUCCUCCAAGGCAACAAAUAGAAUAGAGGGAUGGACGAGACCCCCUCUAGGUUUUGUCAAGUUAAAUGUCGAUGCUUCUUUCGAUCAAGACAUGCUUAGAGGCACAGCGGAAGCUGUACUUAGAGAUGAUAAAGGAAGAUUUAUUGUUGGAGGGAAUUGGAAGAUGGAUUGGUGUGCAGAUGUCUUAACAGCGGAAGCUAUGGCACUACGUUUGGGCUUAUUACUUGCACAAAAGGCGGGAAGCAACCGACUUGUUGUUAACUCCGACAAUAUGGAAGUAAUUGACACGAUGAAGAAUGGAGGACAUAUAGCGGGAGCGGCGGCAGCUGUGUUUGAUGAUUGUUAUUUUAUGGCUUGUGAUUUUCCGUUAGUUAGAUUUGAACAUUGUAAUAGGAAGGCAAAUAAAGUAGCUCAUGAAAUUGCCAGAGUAGCUAAAUUUUCUGAGACAAGGGAUUGGUUUGAGGAACCUUUGAACGAUAUUGUAAAUUUUCUUAUAGACGAUGUAACCAUUAUUACUAAUAAAUAAAGAGGAUGUUUUACUUUCAAAAAAAAGUCACUUUUUUCACUCUUCAACUUAUGAGCUGGUGACUUAUUUGAAACCAAACAUGCCCUCAUAUUUAUCUCAACAUGCACAUAUGCCAACUCAUCAAAGGCCCACCACUACAUGCAUGAAAAAAAGUUUUCCAUUAUUAGUUGAUCUCAUGCACAUCUUUCACCUCACCACACAUGCCACCUCAUCAAAGGUCCACUCGAAAUGUAUGAAAAAAGUUUUCCAUUACGUUAUGGCACUUAUAUUCAAAAUAUUUUCUGACAAGUACUCCCACCGUCCCAAAAUAAAUGCCUCAACUCAAAAUAAGUGUCUCAACUUUAUAUGAAAUUUGUCCUAAAAUAAGUGUCUUAAUCCUAAUGCAACUAAUUGUACUAAAGUUCGUAUAAAGUUGAGGCACUUAUUUUGAGACGAAGGGCGUACAAUAUACAAUAUUUAUUUUUAGCUUUAGUUCAUAUAUUAUUAAUUCAACUAUGGAAACUUCAUACAAUCAAAUCACUAUAUGGAUGCAUAUGCAUCUAGGAGCCAAAACACCGCAUCCUAUAUAUAUUGCAAUCGAUUCUCGCAGCAACGCGCGGGGUAGUGUAACAACGGUUGUCCCCGGGCCGUCGCCGCUCCACCGUGGCAACAGUGCAAGAAAAGGACGAAGCUGUCGUCAACCAGUUCGCUGCUCACGGUCACCGGCGCAAAGAAGUGUCCGGACUCGCUAGACAGGCACAGGCGGCUAGCCAUCAUGUAGUAGGAGGCAAGCCGCCAAAGACAUUUCGUUCCCGUCGAAUCCGACACGAGGCGGCAUCGACGUAAACAGAUCCGGUACCGAUACACCGGUCGAUCUGCCUGGCCCCGGCAACAGCGCCCUGUCCCCCGCUCCGCUCUGCGCCUGAAGAGACGCACGUAUGCACGCACAUCCAACGACAGUGCAAGUUGCAGAGAAAGAGAGAUAUAAAUUUGUGUAACCAUUUGGAUCGCGACGUCAAGCUUGGGUUACGUGCAUGCCGACCAUGAGCCACGUCGUCCCAAUCAAGCUCUGGCUCACGGGAUGCCAUUCAUGUGAACCGCGAGCGCGAGCGCGAGCCGGCGAUCUUUUCAGCUAGCGCGCGCCCAUACGGCCAUACGUGCCGACCGUGCCCUUAUCCCCUCGGCCGCGCGCCCGCACUAUAUAACCCCACACCCGCGCGCUCCACGAAAAAAACUCGUACAAACUGCAACACACACACGCGUCGACACGUUGCCGCAUUUAGCCACGUACGCUCGUUCCGGAGCCAUGGCGCGCACCGUUGGCUGCCCGCUACUCUCCGCCGUGCUCCUCUCGUGCUGGUGCGGCCUCGCCCUGGCGGCGCGGCCGGCGCCGUCGGCCGCCGCGGGCGUGGGCGGCGGCAACGUGAGCUUCGUCAAGGCGUGGUGCGCGGGGACGGAGUACCCGGCGCUGUGCGACGCGACGCUCUCGCCGUACGCGGCCGCGGUGGGGGACAGCCCGGCGCGGCUGGCGUGCGCCGCGCUGAACGUGACGCUCGCGGGCGCGCGGAACGCGACGGCGGCCAUGAGGGGCAUGGCGGCGGCCGGGCGCCUGCCGCCCGUGGCCGCGGAGGCGGCGGGUGACUGCGUGAGCAUGCUCGGGGACGCCGUCGGCAUGCUGAGGCAGUCGGUGGAGGCCAUGGCGCAGGUCGGGGCCGAGGCGGAGCAGGGCCACUCGCAGGAGAGGACGGUGAGGUUCCAGAUGGACAGCGUGCGGACGUGGGCCAGCGCGGCGCUCACCGACGGCGACAUGUGCAUGGAAGGGUUCCGGGGCGAGGCUGCCGGCGGCGGCGGCGUCAGGGAGGCCGUGCGCGGCCACGUCGCGGGCCUCCUGCACCUCACGGCCAACGCGCUUUGCAUCGUCGGCGCCAUGGCCAACCAAACGGCGCCGCCAUAGCCGCCGGGAAAUAUACAUGCCUUGUGUGUGUGCGCUUCUUCUCCUUUUUCUUUUGCAAUUGCCAUGUGUUAGUAGCUCGAAGUGUAACAUGUUUCGGUUUUCCCUUGUAUACUCCACACAGUACGUGCAAAUAUCUCGUGUACGUGUGACCUGUCAUCAUGGUAUGAUCGUACGGACACGGCCACAGCACAGAAGGCCUCCGACAUCAUCUGCGUGCUCGUCCUGCGUUUUACUUGAACAAAAAUGAAAGAUCUAGCUUUAUUGGUCCAGCAAAGAAAGUAUAAAGAUUAUAAUAAAGAAUAUAGAAAACAUGGGAGAUGAUUUUUGGAAUCACGGUAUAUUGGAACUUACUCCAUAAAACUGAAAACAUGUUUCUAUGUAUUGAAAAUUUCCGAAAAUAUCAUGUACAUAUGUAUUGGUUUGAAACGUGCCCGUGUACGUUUUCGUAAGAUAAUAUGACUGUUUGCGACCUAGGUAAAAAAGAGAAUGAUAUGGUUGAAGUCAUUUUCAUACAUGUUGCAAAUCAUCAUACGUAUUAUUUUAUGAAGACUUACAUGAGAUAGUUUUAAGUGAAGACUUAAAACUAUCCCAUGUAAGUUUUCAUACAGCUCGCAAUCAUCAUAUUAUUUUUGUGAGAAUUUACAUGUGUAAGUUUUGACUCGAUACUUAUGUGCAUUAUUCUUUUUCAAAAGGAAUUAAUAAUAAGUACUUAAAAUAUUACAUCGGUUAAGAAAUAACUGGCAUGGUUUUAGUUCAAAAGUUAUUUCCUAAAGAGGGAGUAUGUCUUUUGCCAAGUUUUGGAAAAUGAGUAUGUCGGAUGAUAAUACCGACAACAAAGAUCUACAAUAAACUUGGCAUUACAUGUAAAAAAAAUCAUAGCCAACAUCUCUAGCUUCAUUUUUCGUAUCUUGAUAUUUUCCUAUGCCUCUUAUAUGACAAAAUUGUAGAAGACCAAACCUAAAUAAGAUGGGUUAGUCUCAUAGUUUUUAAAGAGGCGCAUGGCUCGCUCACCCAGAAAGGUGAAAACGCGCUGUGAUAGCCCUUACAAGGCAUGUCGAUAACCGAUGGUCAAAAGCUCAAAAAUACAGACCAUGAGAACCAUAGUAGAUUGCGACGACAACACCAAAGGCCGAUAAUGCUUCAUCUACGUGAAGCUACGUGAGUGUUUACGUAAACUGCCUAAAAUAAUUCUCUCCUCCCCCUUGAUUUUCAGGUGGGUGGGGCCCCUUCCUCCCCUUCUCCAAUCAAUAUAAUCCACAUUGCUCUUUACGUAACAUACAUAGCUUUUAUUACGUAGAUGUAGCAUUACUCCACCAAAGGCAGGUCCGUGGAAUACUCUCUGGCUGCGAACCAAUCUGUGGUUGGAUGGUCAGAGGGAGAGUGGUAUCCUCAGCCCACCAGGGUUCAAGUCCUGGUGCUCGCAUUAUUCUUGAAUUUAUUUCAGGAUUUCCGGCGAUGCGCUUUCAGUGGGAGGAGACGUUCCCGUCAACGACGAGGCACCUACAGUGACUUCGUAAAUUUCAAGAUGACAUGUCGGCUCUGUCUCUCGAAGAUGCUCAUAGGGGUAAGAUGUGCGUGUGUGCGUUUAUAAGGGUGAGUGUAUGCGCGCAUCUAUGAGCGCUUGCGUCUGUACUGAUGUUCAAAAAAAAAAGAACACUCCGUGGCUACUUGGUUUGGUACCGAACAUUGGCUUGCCAAUAUACAGGCAAGCCAAAAAAAUUGGUUGGUUGCCAACUUACUUUGUCCAAUGUUUGGCGACCAACCAAAGCAUGCCCUAUCGGCCUACGCCUAUCCCCGGUUACAAAGAGGGAAGAGAACCUACACGCCAGACGUUGAUCCGUGAUCCUUCUUCGGGAAACAAGUGCUCCUCUUGCCUCUCGCAGAUUCCUCAUGCAUCAUGUGAGCCUGUGAUACAACGGACGAAACUCACCUCGUCCACUUCAGUGCAGUGCCUCUCUUGCCGUUUUACGAUGAAUACGAGGGGCGGCAGGUAGCGCUCGUGUCGCUCUCCAGGGGGCCGGCACGAGCGAACCCUAGCCGCCGUCGCCCCGUUCCUCGCCUCUGCAGCCCGCGGCCAGGCCGAUUCCGGAGGAGGUCGACGGGCGAAGCCCGCCUCGGAGGACGGCAGCGGCAGGGCACUCUUCUUCUUGCGGCGGCGCGUUGCCAUGGACGGCGUGGCCCGCUUGCGGCGUGGCGGCGGAAGUCGACGCGGUGGAUCCGACGGUGAACUUCUCGUCAGCGCGGCGAGGAGGUUCUGGGUGGCUGAUCGGGGUCGCGCGCGAGGGAUUCAGGUCGUCUGGAUCAAUCUCGCGUUGGCGCAUUCGUCUUCAGCCGACGCGGUCAGGGCAGCGACCCUGGCGUGCGGCGGCGGUCGUUUCCCCCAUGGCCGGUGGGUUGUGUCGUUGGCUUGCCUGGCCGGGUGUUGGGUGGCGGCGGCGGCUGCAGAUCUGGAGUCCCGGCCAGAUCCGUCGUGGUUUGGCUAUGGCCGGCCGGCGGCGCGUGAUGGGGUCGGGGUGGGGCGGCCGGAGGUCCUCAACCGGCUUUACGAUGACACCAUACGUCUACAUGGCGCGGGUGUGUUCGGAUCCAGUCAGCGGCAAGAUCGUGGUGGCGCUACUUCCGGUGAAAAUCGCGCCGACUUCGGUCAUGGCGGACGACGACGGCGUCUCCAACGCCCCCUGUUGAGGCAUCAUCGUUGCAAACUGCGUCAACAUGAUCAGGAUAUUCCGGGGGAAACCCUAGAUCUGGGUCUACCAGAUCGGACGAUGACGGCGCCUUCGGUGUCGUACUCCCUUCUGAGGGCAUCGUUUUGGAGCAGGAGCUGGCUGAAGGGGACGAGGAGGAGCGGUGUUUCAUCUAAUGCAAGGCCGACGACGGAUCCCGGCGGCAUGGCGCUGCAGAGUUUCGGCGACGGGCGCGUGUGGAUGGAUACAUGCAGGAUGGUGGUGUUGUCUGGCGCCAUGGUGGCGUCGAUGGCAGGCCUGACAAGGUCGGUGCGUCAGUAUUCGCUCUGGAGACAGAUCGGUGGAAGACGGCGGCGGCAGCCUCGGUGAGUGCGCCGGACCGGCGUGUGACCCAGUCCAGGUAUGUGGCCGGGAUGGGGCAUCCGGCACAAGAUGUUAGGAUUUGGUGUGAUGUCUGUUUGGUAUUAGGCUCGGACAUUCGGUACCACUACAUCUAGGGGAUAGGAGUAGCGAUAGAUGUUGCCUAGAGGAUGGCUUCAGGCUUAGUGAUGUACUUCCCUGUAAAGUCUUUUGUGAAUAAUUAAUAAAGUGACCGCAUGCAUCGUCGAGAUGCAGAGGCCGAGGAUGCAUCCUCCUUUUCUAAAAAAAACGAUGAAUACUAGGGCGAGUUGUCGAGAGCAAGAACUUGCUUCCGUGCAAGCAAGUGCACCUUUCGCGCAUUUUCUCCAAGCAAUAAUUCCACUUUCCAGUCAACUUCUAAUCCACAGGGCAUGAAAAGGCAACGCAAUGAAUGGGCAAGUUAGUUGCAUGUCACAUUCAGAAUCAUCCACACGGCGGUUAACUCGCGCCUUCAGUUGCUAUUGCCGUCAGCAUCCGAGAGAGCAGUGGCAACCAUCGGCACCAUAAACAUUUAUAGAAACACACACAGCACACAAAAAAGAGACACAAAAGUUCUUCAAUUAGCCUUUCAGCCACCACAAAAAAUUCCCGACAAGUCAGAGAACAGAAGAGGGGCUAGAAACUCUUUAGAGGUCUACAGCAUUCCAUUCCAACGGGUAUGAAAACUCGGUCGGUAUUCCUUUGUACUGAUAGAGCACAGCUACAAUUUCAUGGCCUUCAUGAAGUUCUCUUGGGAGGAGACAUGUUUUGCAGGAGCCUGGUGGUUGUCGCGAUGACCACCAAUUGGAGCAGGACACCUGACCAAAGCAAUGAAGGGUGAUGGAAGCCUGAAGUUAGCAUCGCAUAUUUUGUCAUCAACAGAUAAAAGGGGUGAUCUAGAACUUACCAAGUGCAACACGGACCACAUCGAACAUUUCAUAGCUUGUGAUGUCUGCGGUGUUUUGCUUCGUGAUCUAGAAAGAACCGGAUGCUAAUUAAUUGAUGUAUUCGUAUUCUGGAGGAAGAAUUUGACAAUAACUUGGUAAAUAAAAGCAAAGUCGUGCAGCAAAUUGCUAACAUGGAACUGCAAAGUGCGCAGAGAAUGCAUUGACUAUAUUGCUGCAAGGGAAGUGAAGUGAAAGCAUAAUUCUGGCCUUGAUGAUUCGGAGUUAGCGCAUGAAUGUCUUAAAUUUAUAAAAAAUCAAAUUCCAAAUCAAUUUCAGAUCUAAAUGACAAGAAAAGACAGUCAACAGAUGGCAAAGAAUGGAAAUGCCAAAUGGAUACGUGCGAGCGCCUGUAUUAUUGUUAAUUGGACUUAUAAGGAUCAAGAUAUAUGUAAAAUGAUAUACCUUUAAGCUAGCUCAGCCAUGUGGACAGUGGCAAUCACCUUUCACAUGGGAUGAGGACAAUCCUACAUAACAUCUUUUCUCAACAUAAAAGGGAAUUACUUGCACGUAUUUUUCUUCUGCUAGAUAAGCCUAAUUCUCUUCUCACCUGAUUAUCAAACUUCUCAAAUCUGCUGAUGUUAUGUACUCCCUCCGUAAACUAAUAUAAGAUCGUUUAGAUUACUAUUUUAGUGAUCUAAACACUCUUAUAUUAGUUUACAGAGGGAGUACAUGCUUUAUAUAGUCAUUCUCAUUCCAUAUCGAGGAUAGUACAUCUUCUUUGUAGCUGAAUCAUCACAAAUGCUUAAAUUCCCCUCAACUGUUCAGCUUCUAGCAGGUGAUUGACGUUUCUGCUACAUAUUUUGGAUUGAAGUCUAGCGCAUAAAUUGUCAAUUAUGUGGGACUAGACAGCAAACUCAGGGCCUACAAACUACAAGGAGUAACAGCCUAGACAAAGCAGGUUUCUAUCUCAAUGAAGCUGAAGAAGAUUGAACUCAUGGGUUUAGAGGUACUUAAGCAUGCCAAAGAAGAAGAGCCUUACAUGAGACAACUUCACACAUAUUAAUUGCAAAAAUAUUAGGUACUAAAUUACAUAGUCCAAAGUUCAAACCUUCACGAACAAGUCUGAACGAAUAAUGCACGUCACAGAGAAUGCAAUAGCAAUCGAUGACAAGCUUGUGUACAACCGAAGAAACACUGCCACAGUCCGCCUCCGCCCUGUGACACACCAAACAACAUGAUCAGCUCAAACACCAUCAUUGACAAGAUCAGCUAGAAUGCAAUCAACAAUCUGAUGAGGGUAGUUGGAUAAAACAAUGGCAUAAAAGGAUGCCCCACUGCGGAGAACAGAAUGGAGUAUUGAAGAUUAUUUCUUCAGAUGUCCACUGACAAAGUACAUUUGCAAUCGGCGGGAAUAGACUUUGGAUACCUACAACCCCUUAAUCAUCUAUUCAAUAUGUCGAGAGACGGUUUGGGCUGUUCAAGAAAAAGGAUCAGAAGCUCAUACAGUGCUGCAAUUUGCUUGUCGGUAUGGAAGGCCUAUAAUAACGUGUGCUGUAAACAGUCAUACUUGUUUAUCCUAACAUGAUUGUCUUUGAAGCGUUCAAGUGGAACUGUGGGAGUAGUACAUAUCUACAAAUUACUAGGAAGGGUUUCAUGCUAUGGACGCCAGUCAAUAUACAACUUGAAGGCUCUAAACGAAGCUCAUGAGUUAAAACAACCAUGAGAAUGAUCGAAGUACUGAAGUCUCCUAAUUUCGCUAGUCAUACACAAGGAGUGACCUGUGACCAUCAUUGGCGACUUGGCAAUGCUUUCUCUGAAUUGUCUAGACUUUUUAGCUCAGUGACACCAAUUAUAUAAUUUUAACUCAUAGUUUUAAGUUCCCCUUUUUAGCUCAGUGAUACCAAUUAUAUAUCUACUGAACUAUGAAGCCCUUUCUUUUACUGAAACUAGUAAAGGCUUUGUAGGAUCUCAUGGCGAUUUUGUUACAGAAACCAGAUUCAGAUCUAAUGUUUCGGGCAAAAGACAAGGAAAUCUGCAAACACAAGCUCAAAACAGGUAUAAUUGACUCAUCACCAAAUUCCCCCAACAGAAUGGCCAGCAGCCCGGCGGCCAAGGACAGCACGGCGAACUUGUUUAUCUCCGUCCCCUUCGACAGAGACAGCAACAGCAACGCGCCCCCGGCAACUUGGUGCAGUGUCUACAGAAAGCAAGCCACGACGAACACUUGUCAGAUCAAGAACCGCAGCGAUGACAAGGAUUAGGAGCCAGCGCGCCGGUCCGUACCUGCACGAGCAUGAGCCGGGCGAGGCGGGAUCUGCCGUCGGCGACCCUCUGGUACCCUGCAAUGGCGCGCGAGAAUCGCGGAUGUUUUGGUGUUGGAUUAGGCUUCCCGAAGCGAACAAGAAGGUAGUGCGGGUUUGGGGUUUUGGGGUGCUGGAUGCUUACGGGAGUCGACGACCAUGCGGUAGGAGAAGUCGGAGCCAUCCGUGCCGGACGGCCGGCCGCGCCGCUGCUGCAUCGGGAUGGACGACGACGACGGCGACGGCGGUGCUCGCGGGGAAGGAAGGAGAGGUCUGUCCAGGCAGGAGGCGUCUCCCUGCCUGCGAGUCUUGUAGACGGAAAAUACGCCUCUUACCAACAGACGCGUAAAACAAGGGAAUACGCCUGUUGUGCUGUUAAGCGUCACACGAUCAGAGACGCGCACAAAACACGACGGCGCAGUCUUCGGCACACUCGCAAGUCGCAACCACCUGUCCACGCCGCCGCCGCCUGAGCUCCGGCGACGGAGGAAGCGGCCGCCAUUCCCACAGAGAUUGUCUCCAUGCCUGCCCCGCCCGACCAGCCCGCAGCCACUGGCGCUGGGGAUGCCUCGACUGAUCCUACUGCCGCCGCUGUCUGCGACGACGUGCACGACUCCAAGGAGGUCGUCCUGCGGCGGUACUUCCUUCAGGAAUGGGAGCUGGUCUCCGCCAUCCUCCGCCGCAUCUUCGCCGCUGGCGGCGUCGCGGAGCCCGCCGACGUCCACAGGAUCCGCUCCAUCGUAAGCUCUCUCCCCCCCACCCCCCUUCUCCGGAUGUUGCCUGUCGCUGAACCAUAGAUCCCAACGAGAAUAAUGUCUAGCCCUGUAAGCAAUGCUAGAUUCUGCUUGUUUGGUACGAGUCACGGAAGAGCUUAUUAUGUUUCAACGUUGAUUAUUGAUUGCAUACACAAAAUCUGAAGAGAUCAUGUAAAUUUUCAAGCCUCGUGCUCUUGGUGAAAUGGCAAACCCUCGUUUGGAUGUCUUUGUUUCAGUGAACACUCGAUGAGUGCUGGAUAGUAUAGGAUGCAGUUUAAGCUGUUUAGUGGACUAGCUAGCGAAUUUGCACUGGAAAUUAAUGGGUUUUGUCAAUCUGUGCCAAACCCUUCAUGUUUAAAAGCUUGAUACAAAUUAAUGCCAUGUUUUUUGUUGGGAACCUUCAUGUUUAAAAGCUUGAUACAAAUUAAUGCCAUGGUUUUUGUUGGGAAGUAGAUGGACAAAUAUCAAGAAGAAGGUCAACUUCUCGAGCCAUACCUAGAAGACAUCAUCUCACCACUUAUGUCGUUGGUUCGAUCAAAGAUAAUGGAACUUGGUGCUGCCACAGAUGAGCUCCUUGAAAUCAUCAAGCCUCUGUGUAUUAUCAUCUACACCCUGGUCACAGUCUGUGGGUAUAAGAGCGUCAUCAAGUUCUUCCCUCAUCAGGUUUCAGAUCUAGAGCUUGCGGUUGCUCUCCUUGAGAAGUGCCAUACAAUGAGCUCAGCGACAGCUCUUAGGCAAGAGAGCACAGGAGAAAUGGAGACCAAGUGUGUCGUUCUGUUGUGGCUUUAUAUACUGAUCUUAAUUCCAUUUGAUAUCUCCUCCGUUGACACGAGCAUUGCUGCCACUGAUCAUGUGCCCGGGUCUGAGGUUGUUCCGCUUGUGACAAGGAUCUUGGACAUCUGUAAGGAUUAUCUCUCCAACUCUGGUCCAAUGAGAAGGAUGUCAGGGUUGCUGCUUGCAAGGCUGUUGACUCGUCCAGACAUGCUGAAGGCCUUCAGCAGGUUAUCCUUUACAGCUUACAGCCAUCAUGCAUAGACAUUUCAAAUUGCUAAAUUACCUUCAAAAGUAUCCUGUCACCGGAGUACUGUCAAGUUUCUGUCACUACUAGGAACUUUUUAUUGUCUGAAUUGAAUGCAAAAAUGUUAAUAUAUUUAUCUAACCAUGUCUUUGUAACUUAUGACAUAUAUAAUAGAGGAAAAUGUAACAAGUUGCCUCUAUUUUGUCUUCAGUUUUAUGGAAUGGGCGCACAAAAUCUUGUUGUCUGUCACAGAUGACUUUGUGGAUCAAUUUAGGUCCAUUGGCAUAGUGGAAGCUUUAGCAUCAAUAUUUAAGGUUUGACAUUGCCGUUUUUUGUUUCUUUCUAACUCAUACUGCAUAUGUUGUAGAGAUAUCUGUUCCCAGCAUAACAAUUCUAUAAACACCAUAUGUUUCUUUUGGUUCCUCCUGUUGCAGAUUGGUAACAGGAGAGUGCUACAUGAUGCCAAUUCUGGUAUUUGGAACGACUGUUCAUUUGUGAUGAAGACUAAUAUUGCCAUCAGAAGUCCCCUCCUUAGGAAAUUUCUGGUCAAACUGGCACAGCGAGUUGCUCUCAUUAGCUUGGCUCCCCGUACGCCAUCAUGGCGCUAUCAGGUUUGAAAUCUUUCAUUGUUAACCUUUGCUUAAUCAAUAUUGUACGGGUUUUAAUAAUGCUUACUUGCUUAGAUAUUCCUUCCUUUUCUUUUUAGUUUGCAUAUAAAGUUAGUCUGAAGUCAAACUUCGUAAAGUUUGACCAAUUUUAUAGGGAAAAAUAUCAACAUUCACAAUACGAAAUCAAUAUCAUUAGAUGCAUCAUGAAAAUAAUUUUCAUAAUAUAUAACUUAAGUAUUGUAGAUAUUGAUAUUUCUAAUAUAAAUUUGAUCAAACUUUGCAUAGUUUGACUUUUCAAAAGAAAAUUAUAUGCGGAAUCAAAAGAAAUGGGGAAGUACAUUUAGAGAUUGUUUUGUGUGUGUGCAGGUUCUUUCUUGAGUAAAGUUCUAGGCACUCUGUAAAAAUUGUUUACUGCUGGUGUACCCUUCUUACGUUCAAUUUUCCAUUACCUGGUUUAAAAAACAUGUGUCUGAUAUGGGUGUGCAAGCUCAUAAACUAUAUGCACAAUCCAGAACUCCAAAUCACAUUUUUUUAGAGCAGUAGGGCACAUAGCUACUGGAAAUAUAUUUCAAAGAAAGGAAUCGGUAUUCCACAAGAUGUAAAUGAUACAAAAAUUGCAUGAAGGGCCAAAAACUAUCAAUAUGCAUCCUACAUGAUGUACCUAACAUCUUUGCAGUGAUUGCAUCCUGCUCAUGGAAUUCGUUUGUUAAAUCUGGAUGUGUGAAGCAUCCAUAUGGUAGCAGUUGGGUAAGAGCUUGAACAUACUGGAGCUCCAACAUCUGCUCAGUUAAGGCAUAGCUUGGUACUAACUUAGCAUCCAAUUUUUGUGGGGUUCUGCUAACUCUGGGUAGUAAACAGUUUACAGGAAGGUGUGUUGAUUUAACAUUUUUCAUUCAAAAUACUGUUUAUUCUUGGGAUUACUGGAAGUUAUUUCUGGGACAAAGCCUGUCAAAACUAAUAUGGGAUUAACUAAGGACAUAUAAGCUAGUUAGCUGCAUCCAAGGCGCAACAUGUACCAAACUACAGCACAUCCCUUCUUUUCAAAAUUGCUGAGUGCUGGCAGUGAUUUAGCUUUUAGUUUCUGAGAUGGCUAAUGCAGAAGAAUCAUUUAAUAAUUGAUAUCAUGCUUUACAUCUAUCUUUUAUCGGAUGCAUUCUGUGAGAAAUGUUUGCUAGUAUUAUUUUGUAUCUUGUCAUCAGUUUGUUCUUCAUUGUUCUACCAUAGUGCUUACUGGUUUUCUGUCAUGCAGUCAAUAAGUAGUUCACUGGGUGCAAACCUUUUAAGUUCUACUGCUGCGUCUUCAAAUGGAUCAACCCAACAAGUGAACAUUGAUCAAACAGACACAUGUGGGUUGGAAGAAGAUAUGGAUGUUCCAGAAAUUGUGGAAGAGAUAAUCGACUUACUAUUGACUGGCUUGAGGGAUUCGGUAUGUUCUCAUCUAAUAUUAUACUGUAAAACAUUUAGUUUGCUCUCUGUGUCAUGUUUAAUAAAUUUACGAAUACUGUAUUCUUUGCUUUAGGUAGGUCCAUCAUCUCUACUGUGUUUCUUUCUUCCCACGUGCAUGCAUGCUGAUUAAUAUCAUUAUUACAUCAGUAUCUUUGCUGCAAAUCUGCUGCCACUGAAUAUGCUGUACUCCAGAUUAUUUAGUACUUUGGAGAGACUGACCAUCAAUGCUACCCAAUCUUGUUGAUCUUUUUAACCAUUUACAUAUAAGUGAAAUAUAAUUUGAUUCAGUGCAGCUUGUUUGGAUGGGUUAGAAUAGAGGUGAUGAAAUCGUUUCGUGAUGUACAUUAAAGUUUCAUUAUCAUAUGGAGUGUGAACAUGCUUCAAACAGUCAAUUUGCCUUCCUGCCACAUAAAUUCUCUGCAGCAGCGGUUGUUACAAUGUCUCCUUGCCACUAUGCUUCUUUACAUGCAAAAGGUAAAUGUUUUCAUACAAAAUAUUGAUGCUUCGUUCGGAUAGGUGAUGCAAUGAGUAGCACUGUUGUUAUGGCGCUGCUAGAAGGAGGGCGUGAGAGGGCCGGCCGGGGGCCUUUUGCCCACGGCCGGGCAAGAUGGAAGGGAUUUCCUUCUUAAUUCUUGCUUGAUUAGAUUGAUACAUCUCCUCUCUUUAUAUAGAGAGGUUUACUUGACUCCCAAGCAAGGCUUACUUGACCCCUAAGCAAGCGACCCUUAUCUCUAAUUAACCCUAGGACUAACGGGCUAUACCGCCAGCCCAGGCCAUUAGGCCCAUUACGUACUCUAACACUACACCCCACCUGGACAUGCAGCUUGUCCUCGAGCUGCAGCCUAACUAACUUAUAACCAUGACUCGACGCAACACAAAACUAACACCUAAAACAAGCCUUUUACAUCUCGGCUUGUUUUAUUACUCUCAACCUGAAAUGGACUGGGACGCUUUAUUUUGGACCCCUUAACAAAAAGUGGACACCAUCCGCACGUCGGACGUGCACGUGUACAGCCUCCUGGAUCCCAUGGACACCAUCUGGACAAAAGGAGUGCAUGUGUAUGGCCACCUGGAAGUGGUCGCAAGAGCGACCAGCAGAGGCGCCCUCGCGGCGGCCGGCGGCGGAAUGCAGUGGUGCUACGCGGUGCGCUCCUGUCGGUAACACCAUGCCUACUCCCCACCGGACGGCUGUUGGUCUGCACCGCACAGAGAAGACUGGAGGGCUUUCGAUGGAGAAUGGCNNNNNNNNNNNNNNNNNNNNNNNNNNNNNNNNNNNNNNNNNNNNNNNNNNNNNNNNNNNNNNNNNNNNNNNNNNNNNNNNNNNNNNNNNNNNNNNNNNNNNNNNNNNNNNNNNNNNNNNNNNNNNNNNNNNNNNNNNNNNNNNNNNNNNNNNNNNNNNNNNNNNNNNNNNNNNNNNNNNNNNNNNNNNNNNNNNNNNNNNNNNNNNNNNNNNNNNNNNNNNNNNNNNNNNNNNNNNNNNNNNNNNNNNNNNNNNNNNNNNNNNNNNNNNNNAUGUCGCAGACUUUGAGGUCGCUGUCCGUGGGGAAAAUAGCAUGCCCAAGAUCCCCGACGCAGCGGACGAGAUCGAGGUCCUUUGCGCAGCGAAGCGCAACUAGAAGGAGCGGCAGCCGCAGACCACGCAUCUCCCGCACACGCCGACGCGCUAGGAUGCCGCGCGCAGCAGCCUGCAGCCUCACCGCCGCCGACACGUGGCGGGUAGUGAUCCAAGCCGGAAGCGGUGACGGCGACGGCGGGAACGUGAUCUGCUGGAUGGGGACGCCUUGGGGAAGCGGUGAGGGGACGGCGGGAACUUGAUCUGGUGGAUCGGGACUCCCGCCGGCGCGGUCGAUGCGGGGCCGGAGCUGACCGGCGGUGGCUGCUGCAGCGGAGCGCCGGGCACGGCGGGGGCUGCCAGGAGCGGCGGCUGCCACUGCAGCCAGGGCGGGGCGGUGGUGGCGGUGGAUGGCAGCUGCAGCGGCCCGGCGAGCGCGGCGGGGACGCCCUGGGGCAGCAGCAGCGGCUGCUGCGGCGGAGGCCGCCAGGAGUGGCGGCUGCCACUGCAGCCAGGGCGGGGCGGUGGUGGCGGUGGAUGGCAGCUGCAGCGGCUGUUGUAGCGGCCCGGCGAGCGCGGCGUAGGCCACCUGGUGCGGCGGCUGCCACGGCAGCCACGGCGGCGCAGCCGGGUGCGGCCCGUAGGACGCGGCCAAGAACAAGCGGAUCUCCUGGACAGCCUGGGUUAGGGCCCGCAGCGCCCCGGACACCUCCUCCGGGGUGAGGACGGCGGGGCAGGCGCGACGGAGGAGCCCGGCGCGGACAGGAGCGGGGCGACGGUCGUGGUGGUCGCCGGAGGCAACGAGGUGACCGGCAGCGGAAGAGACGGGUUGGGCGGCGGUGAAGACAUGAUCGAACCGAAGCUAGCUGAUACCAAAUUGUUAUGGCGCUGCUAGAAGGAGGGCGCGAGAGGGCCGGCCGGGGGCCUUUUGCCCACAGCCGGGCAAGAUGGAAGGGAUUUCCUUCUUAAUUCUUGCUUGAUUAGAUUGAUACAUCUCCUCUCUUUAUAUAGAGAGGCUUACUUGACUCCCAAGCAAGGCUUACUUGACCCCUAAGCAAGCGACCCUUAUCUCUAAUUAACCCUAAGACUAACGGGCUAUACCGCCAGCCCAGGCCAUUAGGCCCAUUACGUACUCUAACAACUGUAGCCUCUGAUGGAAUUUCUAUACUGAAGGAUACUUUGUGAACUAUUCGUCUUAAAAGCUUUUAUUCCUCUCUGUCCAGGAUACUAUUGUGAGAUGGUCUGCUGCCAAAGGUGUCGGCAGAAUAACUGCACGUUUAACACCUGCACUGUCUGAAGAAGUUCUAUCAUCAAUCUUGCAGCUUUUUUCUCCUGGUGAGGUCCGUUUAUGACAACUUCCAGCUUUCAAAAUUGCAAUUUUCUUAUUCAGUGACUUACUUUAGUAGAUAACUCAUGCAUUUUGAAUACUGAAGGGGGAUGGUUCCUGGCAUGGAGGCUGCUUGGCUUUGGCUGAACUUGCUCGGAGGGGGCUGUUGCUGCCUUCUAGCUUUCCUGAUGUUAUUCCCGUUAUAACGAAGGUACGUAAUAGAGUAAUACGGUAUACCACCUCUAUGUACCAAUGAAGUUAUCUCUUGACUGCUGGCAGCAAAGAUGCUUACUAUUUUCUUAACUCUCUUUUCUGCAAGAUACUUUUGUAUCUCUAUCUGAUAACCAGAACUUUUCUGAAUUAUUUGUGCAUGCUUCAUUUUUCUGCAUCAAUUGCAAUGUGGGCGUGCUGUUGCAUGCCCCACAUGGUCUUACCUAUAUUCUGAUAAAAUAUUUAAGAUACUUAAGUGUCGGCACCCUUGUAUAGUUAUAACUUAUAACAUAGCAGCCUACUGUCCCAAUUGACUUCAUGGCAUACUUUUCUUUGCAGGCUUUACACUAUGAUGUGCGUAGAGGUCCACAUAGCAUUGGUUCACACGUAAGAGAUGCCGCAGCAUACGUUUGUUGGGCGUUUGGUCGUGCCUAUACUAACUUAGAUAUGAAGGUGGUCUUGGAACAACUUGCUCCCCACCUUCUAACGGUUGCUUGUUAUGAUCGAGAGGCAAGGUUCAUUUUGUGCUGCUUUCAUUGGUGGAAUGAUAUUUUCAUAACUGUUUCUAAUGUGUCUUUUGCCGUAUCUGAUUUCAGGUUAAUUGUAGAAGAGCUGCUUCUGCUGCCUUUCAAGAGAAUGUUGGAAGACAGGGAACUUAUCCGCAUGGCAUUGAUAUUGUGAAUACAACAGACUACUUUGCACUAGCUUCACGAUCAAACUCUUAUCUGAGUGUCGCCGUUUCUGUUGCUCAGUAUAAGGAGUAUGUUUACCCCUUUGCAGAAGAGCUGCUGUGCAAUAAAAUAACUCACUGGGUACUGUACUACUGUGCAACUCUUUUUUUAGUUUGGGUGAAAUUGCUAUUUAACUGUUCCCUACUCCGGCUACAUUUGCUUAUUUUCUUAUUUCCCGUGCUUCAAUCCUGUCAACUUCUGCUUGAAUCAUUUACAUAGUAAAUACAGAUUUGUUAUCUGCUUCUGUAAAUUAUUGUAACAGCAACACCCAUUGUUUAACAUAAUGUUAGUUUGACGAUGAUCCCUGUUAAGCAUCCAUGUCUUUUCAUCAGUCACUUUUAUAUCCUUUUAUAGCCAUUUUUUCUCUUGUUUUGUCUAUCCGUAGACCACAUGAUUUGGCUGAACUUUCUUUCUUCCUAGGAGAAAAGCUUGAGAGAGUUGGCGGCGCAGGCCCUUGCUUUGCUUGUGCAAUAUGAUAUGGAUUACUUCUCUGAGCAUGCCCUUAAAAAGUUAAUUCCCUGCACUCUAUCAUCAGAUCUCUGCACUCGACAUGGGGCCACUUUAGCUGCUGGCGAAAUUGCUUUGAAGUUGCAUCAGCUUGGUUUCAUUUUUACCACAGGUAAAUGUCCAUAUCUGGAUUAUCUAUGCAGUACUUUUCAGUGAAUUUUUUACCCUAAAGGCCUAAAGGGGGCCUUGCAUCUGUGUAUAUCUGUAGACAUGCAGAGAGGUUUGUCAGGCAUUGUCCCUGCAAUUGAAAAGGCACGCCUUUAUCGAGGUAAAGGAGGAGAGAUUAUGCGCUCUGCUGUUUCUCGAUUCAUUGCAUGUAUUUCCAUGGCUGCAAUAUCCUUGAAUGAGAAGACAAAGAGAAGUUUAGUUGAAACCCUUAACGAGAAUUUGAAGCAUCCCAAUUCUCAAAUACAGGCGAGCAUUCCUUUCUCUUGUACUAGCAAUGCAAUAGUUAAGAUAGCAGUAAAGGCUUGUUGAUGUCCAUUUAGUGUCAUUUGUUGUUGCUGCUGUUGUUUCAUACUCCCUCCGUCCUGAAUUACUUGUCUUAGAUUUGUCUAAGAUACGGACCGUAUCUAGACAAAUCUAAGACAGGUAAUUUGGGACGGAGAUAAUACUGUACAAGCAUGACACUGUUGUCCCGCAUUGUUGACUGGGUGCUAUUCACAAUAUUUUCCAGUGUGCCGCUGUUGACGCUUUGAAGCAUUUUAUUCCAACAUAUCUGGUUUCUGCUGGUGAAAAGAUUGCUAAUGAUGUCAUUUCGAAGUAUGUGACGCUUCUAGAUGACCCGAAUGUAGCUGCAAGACGAGGCGGGGCGCUGGCCCUUGGAAUAUUACCGUACGAGUUCUUGUUACUAAAAUGGAUGCCUGUCAUGAGUAAGCUCUGUAGCUCAUGCACAAUAGAGGUAGUGAAAUUUCCUAUUGAAAUUUCAGCAGCAAAACAUAUAUACGGAACAAUAACUCGUGCUGUUGAUGCAUUUCUUGAAAUCUCUAACUGAAACUCUUAUUUCGUUUAAUAUGCAGGAUAAGGCUGAUGAUCCUGACGCUGAAGCACGUGUGAAUUCUGUUAGGGGGCUAAUUCUGGUUUGCGAAACAUUAACAUCUAAUGUUGAUCAGAGCUCAGAUAUUGGAGAAUCUGUAUAUGCAUACAUAAAAGUUGAGGUCAUGCCAGCUUUAUUCAGAGCACUUGAUGAUUAUGCUGUAGAUAACAGAGGAGAUGUGGGUUCUUGGGUACGUGAAGCAGCAAUGGAUGCGCUAGAAAGAUGCACGUUCAUCCUCUGCAAGAGAGAUGCUGUUGCAGUGAGAGCAGCGCCAGCUGCUGAGGAUGAGUCUGAGCCAAGCGACAUGGAUGCAAAUGCAAUUAGUACCACAUGCCAACUAUUUGAUUCUGCUAUUGCACAGGGUCUGGUCGCUGGCAUUGCAAAGCAGGCAGUUGAGAAAAUAGAUAAGAUAAGAGAAAUAGCAGUCAGGACUCUGCAGAGGAUUCUGUACAACCAAGAACAGUUUGUCCCGUCUAUACCUUACAGGAAGCUGUUGGAAGAAAUUAUUCCUAAUAAUUCUGAUUUGGAGUGGGCAGUAAGUAAUUUUUCACCAAUUUCACCUCUAAUUAUUGUCAAACCCACUAGGAUUGAUCAUAUCUAAUACUUGUAUUGUGGUAUGUUGUACAACUAGCUGUGCUGCCCUCAGUUCUUAUCUUUUUAAUGCUCAGUUGCGCACCAAUUUACUUUCUUUAUUCCAAAAUCGUAGUCAUCUCGGAAAUAAGUUCGUUGGCGUUUAGUUUUGUAGUGACUGUUUUGUGAAUAAUUAACAGAACACAUAUAUUGCCAUUUUGUUGACAAUAUUGCCUCAAUAAUAAAUUGCACGCUGAUUCAUUUUGCACCAUUAUGUGCAUUAUAUUAAGUAUGGUCGUACUAUCACUCAAGCUUCAACUGAUAGCCCUUUGCCUUGAUUAGGUUCCUACGGUAUCAUAUCCACGAUUGGUGAAGAUUCUUCAGGCUAGCUGUUACAGCAAGCCUGUGCUUUCAGGGCUUGUGAUUUCUACCGGUGGGUUGCAGGAGUCUUUGAGGAAAGCUUCAACAUCAGCUUUAGUAGGAUACUUGCAAGAUUCAAGUAUUAAUAUAGAUGAUAAAGGGAAAAGUAGAGAGUAUCUAUUGAGUCAUGACAUUUUGUGGGUUCUCCAGCGUUACCAGAAGUGCGACCGUGUAAUUACACCCACAUUGAAGGUAAAAUAGUGUAUACAUAUAUCUGAAGCUGGAUGCAUAUUUUUUAUUUCUAAGAUAUGUCUUAUAUUUAAAGUCACGCCUGUUCAUGUUUAGACUGAUGUGAUUAUCACCAGUUCUAGUAAUUUAGUUUCAAUUUGACUAGUUUAGUCUGAAAAUUCACAUGUUUCUACAUUAUUGUUCUGACAUUUGUGCCAUACAUUUUUCUUUACUCUCUUUGGUAAAUCUAACGAGGUCCCUGUAUUGCAGACUAUCGAGACUCUGCUCAGUAAACAGGUCUUCUUGAACAAGGAGGUGAGUUAAUUUUAGCUAUGUAAGAAGGAUUUUUAGUAAGACACUUCUGUGCUUAGCAUUGCGAGACUGGUCUGGAAUGCUAAAUUCCAUUCUUUUGACCUGCAUUUGUAGUGGCAGAUGAACAAAACUCAUUUUGUUAAGCAUUAAUACUGACAGGCAAAGAAGUGGAACUUGAUGAUCAGAGAAACCAAAUCUAUUACUAUUAUACUGCACAUUUUUUAUUAGUUGAUAACUUAAAAACUCAUAAAAUAGGAUAUAACUUACAAAGUCCACACUUCAUAGUAUAAGGGCAAUACGAUGUAUGAUACUUGGUUAUCUGAUGUUGAUUAGGUUGUUUUCACAUCUUAGCUAUGUUUACAAAGCUGUAUAUCUUCUGGCCUUGUAACGUUCAACAGGGGCACGGCGACUUCUACAGUGAAUUGGUAAAUUUACUAGGCCCUGAACUGAAGGGAUCAAAGGACUUCACGAAGUUAUGUGCGGGCCUCUCAAUCCUAGGAUAUAUUUCUUCACAAUUGGAUGGGACUGGCACCAAGGCGUUCUCUCAACUUCUAGUGUUCCUAGGCCAUAGAUACCCCAAGGUAACAUUUGAUAUAUUUCUUGCCUGAGAAGUGCAGAACGCCAGUGGUGAACCGAACUCAGAUACUCUCUGCCAACUUGCAGAUCCGGAAGGCUGCGGCUGAUCAGGUGUACCUUGUGCUGCUGCAAAAUGACAGUCUGAUCUCGGCGGAAGAUAUGGAUAAAGCCCAGGAAGUGCUCGCGGAGACAUGCUGGGAAGGAGACGUCGAGGAAGCGAGGCACAAGAGGUCGGAACUGAAUGCGAUGGCUGGUUUUGGCGUCGCCACCUCGCAGAAGUCUGAGAAUCGACAGGGAGCAAGAGCUCCCGAUGUUCGAAAUGCUGCUUCAACUGAUGAGAACACGUCGUAUUCCUCACUGGUUGAAUUCAGUGGGUACUAGGAAGCAGGGGGGCGUCGACGCGUCGUUCUCCCCUUCUAUAAUGUACACAGUUGUGCACUACACUUGUACAAUAUUUCGUUUCAGUGUUAUCUCAAUUUUGUAUGUUAGGCAUCUGAGACAUUUUUUGUUUGAAGAAACGCAUUACACGCAGCAGCAGCAGCAGCAGCAGCAGCUUAGUUCAUGAUCAACAAGUUUUUUUUUUUUGUUUUUUNNNNNNNNNNNNNNNNNNNNNNNNNNNNNNNNNNNNNNNNNNNNNNNNNNNNNNNNNNNNNNNNNNNNNNNNNNNNNNNNNNNNNNNNNNNNNNNNNNNNNNNNNNNNNNNNNNNNNNNNNNNNNNNNNNNNNNNNNNNNNNNNNNNNNNNNNNNNNNNNNNNNNNNNNNNNNNNNNNUUUUUUUUUUUUUUGGAACAAAGCAAGGCACCUGAAAGGUGCCCAAAUUCCAUUGACAGCUUAUGGGGUCAUUACAAGUUACAUGGGCAACAGACUGAAGAAUAAGAGACAGAGCCCGAAAAAGAGGCUGCAAUGGAGAAGCAAAGAUAGGUUGAAAAACUAAUCAACCAGAUGAACUGCAGCUUAAAGAAAAGACCACCAACGCCGGUAGAGAUGUGUUGUCCUAUGCUUGUGGUAACACCAGAGUCCAGCUAUUCUUGCAGGCAGGAGGACCCUUGCUUUGAGUGCUGUUUUUAGUAGCAAUACACCUUGUGUAGUUGGAACCCUGUGCCAGAGAAUUGAGCUAGAGCAGCCGCAACAGGACAGAGGUUUGUGUCAUGUGAUCUUGUAGAGCAAAUCAUCAGUGGCUGAUCUGAAGCCUGGUACACCUGUUGUGCAAGAUUGUGAGCCACUCCAUUUAGAUUCCUGGAAAUGUGGAACACCUGAGCAUUUAGAAUAGAAUAAAUGCUAUUAAAAGAGGCUAAUUCAUUUCUGAUAUUCCAAGGAGUAGCAGGGUGGGAAAUGGUCUUAGAAGCAGCAGCAGAAGCGGGAGGAAGACAAUCAGUUAAAAAAGUAGGUUACUGCACAUUCAAUUUGUUUGCAAUAAGAGCAGCGCAAGAAAGAGCCUUGGCUUCUGCAUGAGUAGGAUCUGUGGUUACAGGGGCAGAAGCCUGAAUCUGAAUAUUAAGCUCACCAUGAUCAACGGGAAUAGAAAAGUAAAUUCCAAUACCUGUACCAACUUGUCCCCUUAGAAUACCUGGAAUUUUUGAAGAUCGAAAGGCCGCAUCAGAAUAAAUUUUAGUCCCUUUAAUGAUGAGAUCAGACUUGAUAGUUGUACCCUGCAGAGGUAUAUGUUGUUCAUUAUUCAGACUGUCUGAAAAACUGCUGUACACUUGUCCCGACACCAGUGCCUCAGCCUGCAGCGCGCAGUCUGUAUUUGCAGCCAUGAUGUGAAUCUUGUUCGGGUGUACUUUCCUGUGCUCAAAAAGGAGCUCAUUCCUUGCUUUCCAAAUGCACCAUAAGAAAUUGAAAAUAUUUUGCAUUGAAGCAAAAGGAUGACCAGAAUUCAGAAAAGAAGUAAUAGCUGAAAGGAGAGAAUCAUGAUUAUGAACCAGAGUGUCGGAUCUAAUAAACCAAGGGUGCGCAAACCAGGCAGCUCUAGCAAAGUGACAAAGGAAAAAAAGAUGGAAAUCAUCUUCGUGAUGCGCACAUCUAGAACAAAUUUGAGAAAUAUGACUGGAAAAUUUACCUGCUCUCAUACCUGUAGGCAGAGCUUUACUAAGAAGAUGCCAAGCGAAAGUUUUGAUUUUAGGGAGCAUGGAAUUGUUUUUCCACAUCACUUUAAGAAAGUUUUUUAAAUCAGUGGCAACUUGAGUAGGAGCUGUUCUAGGAUGAGCAUGAAUGUCCUGUAAACAAAUUUUAUAAGCAUGUUUAGGAGAACAGCUACCAUUGGGAGCUAAAGGCCAACAAAGAAGAUCUUCAUUAUCAUCCUGAAUAAUAUUGGUAUUGAUGAUUUGAGAAGCAAGAGGUUCCCUAAAAAGUUGGCGGAUGAGCUGAUGAUUCCAAGACCUAGCGUCUGUCAUCCAAAGAUCUUUAACUAAAGAGGGAUAAGCAAACGCAGAAUGCUGAGGAAUAAGGUAGUCAUGAAUAGUAUUCCAAUUGGUACACCAAGGCAUGCUCCAUAAAGAAAUAUUCCCCUGGGUCAGUUGGUAGAACGCAUGAUAUUUAAUCUUGGGAAACAUUUUAAGAAUAGCAGCCCAAAAAGCAGACUUAGGAGGAGCUGGAGUAGCUUUCCAAAUAGUUGUAUUAGGGAAAUAUUUGGCUCGGAGUACAGAAUAUAAAUGUGAAGUAGGAUUAAUUGCUAACCUCCAAGCCGCAGCUAGAAUUAGACUUUCAUUAAUUGCCCUCAAGUUUCUGAUACCCAAUCCUCCUUCUGUUUUUGAAUUUGAAAUGUCCUUCCAAGCACGAAGGCAAAGACUUUUCCUGGAAUCUGUUUCUCUAAUACCUGUCCACCAGAAGUUUCUGAUUACUGCAGUAAGUUUAGCAAUGAACUUUUUUGAGAAUAAAAUAUUAGACAUGUAAUAAACUGGAAUGGCCGAGAAAACAGAACGGAUUAAUUCCAAUCUAGCAGCAUGAGAAAGCAUAUUAGCUUUAUAGGAAGGCAGCUUGUUAAGAAAUUUAUCUAAGACAAAGUUGUAAGCAGCUGCUCUAUUGUUAGCAGGAAGAAUGAGAGGAUGACCUAAAUGAGUGAAGUUGUCAUCCAGAUUAGCUACUGGAAAAAUGCUUUUAAUGUCAUCUCUUACCUACUGAGGAACAUGAAAACUCAAAAAGAUAGCUGAUUUACUCCAGUUAGGAGUUUGGCCAGAGAUGUUACAGAAGUGAUUAAUCAAGUUGGCCAUAACCUGAGCCUCCUGACAAGUAGCCUGCCCACAGACAAGAAGAUCGUCUGCAAACAGUAAGGAAUGCACAGAAGGGCAAUUUGGUCCAAGAGAAAUACCAAACAAAUGAUUGUCCUGCAAAGCCUCAUUCAGCAUAAUGGAUAACUCAUUGAUAGCUAGAACAAAUAAAUAAGGAGACAUGGGGCAGCCCUGUCUAAUACCUCUGUAGUUUUUACAUUUUUGAGAGGGUUGACCAUUAAUAAGCACAGAGAAAGUAGGUGAGGAGAUGCAGGCAUGAACCAAAUUUAUGAAAUGACCAUGCAGUCCUUUACGAGCCAAAGCAGAAACAAUGAAGUUCCACUCAAGACGGUCAAAAGCUUUAGCAAAAUCAAUUUUGAGCAUGAAAGCUUUAUGAUUCCAAGAUUUAAGAGAAAAAGAGUGAGCAAUUUCCUGAGCAAUAAUGAUGUUAUCACUGAUACGCCUACCUUGUAUGAAAGCCUGUUGAGCGGGAUCAAUAUAGUCAGGAAGGUGAGUCUUAAGUCUAUUAGCCAGAGAUUUAGCAAGAAGCUUUUCUGCUAUGAACCUUAAAAUGGUGUAACCUGGGGUAAAAUGUCACAAGUUGCACCCGAGGCUUGCAUUCCACUCGAUAUGAACCGACAGUCGUACCAAUUAGAGAUGAAAACAGAGCGAAAAUGGACGGAAAGAGAAGUUCUAGUGCAGAAACUGGUGUGAAAACCGAGGUUUUUACCAGAGCUAAAAGGGAGCGGCUAGGCGACAGUCAGAUUCUCCUUCUAUCUCAACCGUCUGAUCAAGAUCCAACAGACGUCAUUCGUCUUCAACCUCCUGCCUCUUCUUCCUCUCGCGCACCUGCCGAUCCAGCCCAACCCUAACCACCGCCCCCCGCCUCGCCGCCCCGCCCUCCCCUAAACCACCCCCCACCGCCGGUCUUCCGCCGCCCUGGCCAUCCCUCUAGGGCCCCCCAACACCGAGCUUUUUCUCCAGCCAUCGCCCCACCACCGCCGGCUACCACCACCCACCCUGAACCCUAAGAUAGAUAAUGGGAUGAUGACGGCGAGCCCAUUCCUUCUCUCCGCCGAGGCCCUUCUCCUUCCAUUAUUCGAAAAUCUGACUGACCCAAACUCGAAAAGUUAGUCGAUUGAAAUCUAGCUAAACUGGAGCUAAAAAUCUCCUUUGGGACAUAGACAAAACCAACAAAAUUGUUUGGCUCCACUCCAAGAAUGCAAUACGGAAAUUCUGUUUGUACAAAAAUUCUGCUGAAAACACUGUUCUGUUUCCCACCAGAAACUUAAGUUGCGACUUCCAUUUUUCCCUUCCAUUUUGUGGAUUCCCAUUUUUGCGCUUCGUUUCCAUUCUGUUCUCAGAACUGACAGAGUUUUCACUGCACUCGUAUUUUUAAUCUUAUUAUCGCCAGUCGUUCAUUGACUCUCAUGACAUAGCAUAAUGGGAGGACCUCAUGUAACAAAAAUUUUUCCAAAACAGAGGCAAAAGAUUUGCCUCGUCGAUUAAUUAUGCAGAAGAGAAUUGCCCAGUUAAUUAACAGAAAACCGGGCAAAAACCGAUACAAUCAACCACAUGUGGACUACUCACAGAGCAUCCAACCCCGUAAGCACAUGAUCAGCCUCACAGCCAUACCCAACACGCAAUGACCACCAACCCCAUGUCUACAACGCAAAGAAACCUCCAAAGAGAAUACCUCGGCCGAAGACCAUACACACCACCAAAUCCAAGAAAACAAGCAGAUGACCAUCCAUUAAGCAACUGUUGCGGACGCCAUUUCUGUGGCGUCAUUCUUCUUGCUUCUGUUUCUAAGAGCCUUUUCCACAAUCGUCCUGCCAGAUCCAGGACAAGCCGCCUCCAAACGUUUGAGCAAGCUGUGAACCUCUAUUUCGAAGAGAAUCGCAUCAACCUUGUCACGCACGGUCUCCACCCGCCCAACGGCCACAUGCGAUUGGGUAACGGCAACAUCGGAACCUCCACGAGCCCCUAAGGCGAGCGGCUGGCUCGGCCCCACAGGAGCAGGCGCCAGCAUACUAACCGCACCAACAUCAUCCACCACAGCAACCUCCAGCAUAAUGGACUCAGAGGCCUCCAAUUGCUCACAUGAUGGAGGCGGAAACUGCCCCUCACACAAGGUCGGCGGCAAGUCCACCUUCAGUUGCUCCACAGACAGAGGAGGAGCCCGUUCCGUACAAAGCUCUAAAAGCUCGGUCAUGAUCUGUAGCACCGGAGCAACAACCGCAUCGAUGCACGAACCCUCAGAGGCAGACAACGGCGAGCGGACCCUAGCUCUAGGAGAGAAACAUCCAUGAAGCCCGAGUGAACACUCAUCCUCAAGGUUGACAUCAUGCACAUCCAAGGGGUUUGACACAACACUGGUCUGCAACACAGACGGCACCUGAGAAAGCCCACUCAGAACAGCCUCAGCGCGCUCCAGAAAGUUCCCCAUCUGAAGCAUCCAACCCUGCAUGGAGCCAACAACAUCGCGUAGAGGCUGGACCGCCUCCUUCAGCUGGGAGGAAGUCAAGCCUUGAAGAUCAGAGAGCAGCGAAUCAACCGCAAAAGCAGACUCGAGCACCACAUCCGCUGGAGCUGUUGGGGGGUCGCCGAUCUCAGCCGCUCCAUGAAACGCAACAACUGAAGCCCAAGAACGAGCCAUCGACUGGGGAGGACAAACACCAAUAGCCACAGAUCGUGGAGGACAUGCCGUAGGCCACGACAUUGGUUGGCAUCCAUCCCUCGCACGAUGACCUGAUUGAAAGCAUCGAAUGCACCGGACCGGAUCCCUGCACUUAGCCGCCCGAUGGCCUUUAGCAAAGCAGCGGAAACACUUGUUCCUGAGCCACAUGGGCGGAGGGGCGCGCUCAUGAUGCUUGAGGGCAGGGGAUGGCAGAGCCUGGCGCGGGCGGCGGGAUUGGACAAGCUUCCAUCCUGUCGCCUCAUCCGUCACAAGCCCUGGCAGGACCGCCCCCCCAUCCAUCUGGGCAGGGGCACGCAGCUGCCCGCAGGAGGGGCGCAACGAAGCUUCUGUUGCCAAAUCCGACUGUACAGGGCCCGAGCUCGACGCUGGAGGUUGCAGCACCAAGCCGGAGGCGGAGGCGCCGGCAGCCGGUGGUGUCGGAAUGGCAGCCGUCGUCGCUGGCUUGCGUAGGUGGUGUUGGAUGGCCGGGGCGAGGACAGCCGCGGCAAGCUGAGAGGCGGGAGCUACGGCUACGGGCGGCGAGGUCGGAGCAGCCGCUGGUGGUGUCGAAAUGGCCGCCGUCGUCGCGGGCUGGGCGAAGGCUGCCGCUGCAAGCUGAGCGGCGGGAGCUGGGGCAGCGGGCGGCGAGGUCGGAGCGGCCGCCGAUGGUGCCGGAGUGGCCGCCGUCGUCGCGGGCUUGCGGAGGUGGCCUCGGAUGGCCGGGCCCGCCCUGCGGAGGGCGAGCGCCGCCACAGCAAGCUGAGUGGCUGGAGCUGGGGCAGCGAGCGGCAAGGUUGGAGCGGCCGCCGGCCGGGAGGCACGCGAACUCGAUUGCAUUGUCCAGGGAGGCGGAGGAGCUCAAAGGAGGGGCUGUGGAGAGAGGACGCGGUGGGGGUCUCAGGGUCUCAGAUCCGGUCACGGCAGGAGCAGGGGAUGCCGGAGGAAGGAGAUCGGGGCGCCGGCGCCGGCGCGCUCACCCGUCCUGCGCGAAACGCGAGACGCGAGACCCAUCACCCUUCUGCUGAACAAGACAACAAGCCUCAUGUAACAAUAUAACUCGGCAUGAAUCUGCUCAAAAUUGUAUGAAUCAUCAUAUGUUGACUCUCACGACAUAGCAUAAUGGGAGGACACCUCAUGUGCCCAACACCACAUUCAACUAUAUAACUCGGUUCGAAUAGGCACAAAUGAUCGACAUUCGGUAAAAAGAACAAUGGUUGCAGCAAGUUGUGACCCGAGGAAAAUCCACACGGUUUGGACUCUGGAGAGUCGACACCGUCUCAAUGGCAAGUUGAUCAAAAAGACGUGCUCGUAUCACUUGCUAUUUGCUGACGCCGGCUUCAACCAUGGGUAGACGUCCGGUGAUGAGGGCAGUCUUGCUGUCAAAACUUCAACUCCGGAUUCCGUCACCUAAGGGCAUAGGAGAACAGAGAGAAUGAGUUUGUGUAUACCAUCAAACAGCAGAGAAAAUAGAGUUUUUCUUCUUAGACAAACUGGAGGCAGGCCGAAAAAGUGAAAACCCUGUUUGGUCUAAAUGUCCAAUUUUGACAAAGGAUUAACCUACGCCGCAGAUUUUGAGGCGACAAAAACCUUGGAAAGGAUACCCACGUGGCCACAAUGCCACAUCCACACACUACAUGAGCAAAUUGGAUCAAUUCAUCCAAACAAAACAACAUACCAAAAGGGUGUGCUCAAAUUGAGCACUCCGUUUACCAUCUGCAGUCACUGCAGUCCACUCGUCAGGCCAUAGACGGUCACGCCAAAGUCCUGCAAAAUAUGAAAACUUUCAUUAUAAAACAAUGCAGCAGACCUAGGCCAAAAGUAGCAUCGAGGCGUUCAACCACACAUUGUGUUUGCCACUGUCACACACUUACCUGUGUUAAUCAUUGGCUCAAUUGUAAAUGUCUGACCAGCUUUCAUGAUACCAACAGCCUUGUUUCCUAAAUUAUGAAGCAACCAUAUCUCAUAUUCAAUGGCAUUUUGUAGCAUUUGGACAUAAAUAUACUAAGGUAAAGCUUAUACAGCUUUAAUAGAAGGAAUGCAAAUAAGAAAUACAAGCUGCAAGAACCAUACUUGAAUAAUGAGGGAUGUUCGGGGCACAGUGGAACAAUUCUCCUAUGCCAUGACCACAAUAAGAUUUCACCUGGAAUAACAAGAUACGGGAGUAAAGGUGCAAUUAUAUAACACAAAAGGUAACAAAAGAGCUAAGUUAUUUCAGGAUGAAGUCGGUGCCAAUGCAAUACUGACCACAGAUAAACCUGACAUCGAUGCAUGUCUACUUAUGACUUCUCCAACUUCCCGAAACCUAACUCCAGGUUUAACUGUGCAUCAAAAUGGUAAAUUUAAAUGGCAUGUCUCAUUUGCAGGGAUGGUGUUUUCUAAAAUCUUGCAGGAAUUUCAAUCAGAAGAAAAUUACAUAUCUUCCAGUAAGAUAUAAUAACCGAAAGAGAAAAAACAAGAAACAAAGAAAGGUGAAAUUACUAAAUUACAAGAAUUAAACCGAAGCAUCACCUAUUGCGAUAGCUUUCUCCAAGCACUCAUAGGUACAACGGACAAGCUGUUUCGAAGCUUCAUCAACAUUUCCAACAAAAUAUGUAUCAUUCAAAUCACCUGCAGUUAAUAGUUGCAUCUUACAGGUUAUAUGUCCAGUCAAACACCAAAUAUAACAAUUUUAAGUGGUUAAAUACAGCAUCAGGCGCCUGAGACUUUACCAUGAACACCUUUAUAGUAUACAGUAACGUCAAUGUUUACAAUGUCACCAUCUUCAAGUUUUCUGUUAGAAACAAUUAGAUAGAAACCAGUGGUUCAACAUCAGGUUCAAGCAAGAAUGAGAUGAAUGAUUAGCUCUAUGUGUAAAUAUCAAGGGACCUGGCAUCAGGAAUUCCAUGGCAAAUGACUUCAUUAACUGACCUGAAUACAAAUGACAACAAUGAGAAACAUCACUUGAUGCUGAAUAAUAAGUAACAAAUAAUACAAUAACCUACGUGCAGCAUGACUUCGGGAAGAAAUGGUAAUUCAAUGGGGACGGGUAUCCACCUGCAAGAUCAAGAAUGGAAAUUACGAAACAGAUCGAGAUGCAUAUUAAAUAGCUUGGGAAUACAUUUAAUUCUCUUAUGUACAACAAAUUAACAACAAAUGUUUUUUUAAGACAUAAAAAACAAGUACAAGAUUCCCUGAAACAUUUCAUGAGACAUGAUAUAUUCAUCACUGAUUCAGCUGGUGAUCAAUUUGCUGCAUUUCAAAAUUUUCAAGAAGGUUAAUCAGACCUCUGGCAAUUGUCUCCUCAUGAAUCACUCUAUCGAUUUCAUCUGUUGUAAUUCCUGGCUUGAUUAUACGAGCACCUGCAUCUAAAACUUCUCUUGCAAUCUAACAGUAACAGUUGGGAACAAAGUGGAACAGUCAGUACAAUGCCACCAAAACAUUUCAUUAUUUAAGUACAAAACUGGAUGUGCUGGGAACUUACUCGGCAUGUUUCCCUCAUCCUUUCAAUUUGCUCAGGGGUCUUGAUCUACAGAAAUAGCAGAAACAGAUCCAGCAGAAUAACAUCAGAUAUCCAUUUUUGGAACAUAUAUGAUACUUGCAUAUCAGUGGAAAGCACUACCUCUACUCUUUUCUGCAAAUCACUGUCAGGCUCAAUCUUGGGGAUUCCCUAAAAAGGUUUAUCAAACGUCAGGGGCUAUGUACUAGAGCAGAUUACAGGAUAACAAAAUACAGUCAACUUAAUUAUCCUCUCUUUUGGUACAGAUAUCUAUAUCAGUCUAAAUGGUAAUGCUAAAAAGACACAGAGGAUGGGAUGAAAUAAACUUAGGCACAGUUGAUACUUACAUCAAGCGCCCAAUCAGGUUUCUCGAUUCCGUCUGGCACCAAACGCAUCUUUGAUAUAGGAAAUGGUCUCAAUGGACUAAAACCACAAUAAAUACAAAGUAAAAAAAAAA